ACAGAAAUCAAUCUGCCGCCGCUCUCCUUCAUUCCUUCAUCUUCUUUGUUGCUACCAUGAACAACAAUGAACAAUCACUCUGUUCCUCUCUUUGUUUAUUAUCACGUAUCUCCCCUUCGUAGUUGUCACUACCAAAAUUAUGAUACUUCAAAAUACAAGGUUCAUUUUGAAAUCUGACCCAACCCCAAUCGAUCUGUAAACAAUAUCGUCUCAAUACUUGAAGAAAGACGACUUACUAGUGUUUGUUUGAAAGCCACCCAUGUCAUCUUCAUACCCUUAAGGAGUAUCACUGGAGUUUCAAAGGCAAUUGGAGCAAAAAGUGUUUGAGAUGGAUCUUGUUGGUUAUGGAUAAUUAUAGCAUAAUAAAGGAGGAAAUUGCUUUGUCUUGUAUCCGCUUCAAGUCUAUUAAAUAUCAAUAUAGAAAUUGAAGGAAAAAAAUUGAAAAGAUUAUAAUCAAGAAAUAGAAGACAAAUUUGCCUCAGCUGUGGAGAAAGCAUCACCAUAACACAAAUAUGAACAUAUGUGGACUUUUGGACAAACAUAAAUUGUGUUAUUUACUCUG